rnacentral:rRNA from 1 species
UACGGGGGGGGCAAGCGUUGUUCGGAAUCACUGGGCGUAAAGGGUGCGUAGGCGGCCGCGCAAGUCUGGCGUGAAAGCCCCGGGCUCAGCCCGGGAAGGGCGCUCGAAACGGCGCGGCUCGAGUGCCGGAGGGGAGAGUGGAAUUCCGGGUGUAGCGGUGGAAUGCGUAGAGAUCCGGAAGAACACCGGUGGCGAAGGCGGCCUGCUGGGCAGUAGCUGACACUGAGGCGCGACAGCGUGGGGAGCAAACAGG